UUUAAGGGCUGCUCUCUGCAGGGAAAGUGUCUCCUGGAUGAGUGUUCUAUUGCUGGUGUUUUCCAUUACCAGUUGGAGAAAACAAAAUGAAACAAACCAGCCAGAAAAUAUCAGCUGUAAAUGGAUGAUGCCUCUAAGCCCAGACUCUCUGAAACCUGUUAUCACAGUGGCUGUACCAUUGCUUUCCAGAACUCCAUAGUUAUCAGAGCAAGGUCGUUGUAUCUGAGGUUCAACUUUUUGCCACUUUGGAAUUUUGAAGGAAAUGUGAGAGCGAGAAGAAGGUCACAGGACUUGAGAUUAACAUGCAUGCAUUGAAACAUAUAUAAUGUAUAAUAUAGAUGCUGAAGUGUACAGAAUUUUGCAUGACUGUACAUAAUUAUGAAUGAAAUCCCAAUGCAUGGUUGUCUGUUGGGGGCACACAGUGCAUAAGCAUUUGCUUGUUGCUGUACUUGUGUCACUGAUUUAAAGACACUUUCAGUAAUUGUUUCUCCUAAAGCACCACACUUAUGCAUCUAGGAAAUAUUCUAUAAUGUUACAGCUCCAUAAAACAGAUGUAAUUGUCCUAUUACUACUGUUAACGUUACCACAAGAUUGCUUUCUCUUUAUCUAUGGCUGAAUUUGUCAGAAUCAAAAAGUGUAUAUAAUUCAUCUUGCCUAAAGUAAGCAGGGCGAUGUGGUGGAUCUUGGCAAGAAUCGCAUGAAAUUCAGACAUGUUUGGAAGUAAAAGGGGGCUUGAUGUAAGUUAUUUCAAAACCAGUAAUGUGGACUGUUUUGACACAAAGCUUUGUCUGAUAGUAUUUAGAUUUUACAUCUUAGAUCAUCAGUGACUGAUAAUGAAAAGGAAACACUGGGCAAACAUGAAAAAAAUUGAAUGUAAUGGAGUAAGUAUUUCCCAUCUUCUGCUCUUGUGCUGACAUACUAUGUGUAUAAUAAAAUCGUUAAUUGCUUUAAAAUGCAAAUAUUUUUUUGAAUCUUCUUUUCAAAUGAUGGAGCACUUCACUAUAUUUUAAGUUCCAGUGUAAAUCCCAAAGCUCCUUCCUUGUGGUCGGCUUCUUGAGUAUGAACCAAAUAAGUAACUCAUUCCCUUAAUGAAAACAGUGCAGGGGUUAUAGGUUAAUGUUUACUUUUGUAAAUGAUUAUGAAGUAGCUGCCUUUGCUACUAAUAAACGUUAUGUGAAUUAAGCUGCGUUUGU